rnacentral:tRNA from 1 species
GUUGCUUUGGCUGAGUGGUUAAGGCGUGUGCCUGCUAAGUACAUGGGGUUUCCCCCGCGAGAGUUUGAAUCUCUCAGGUAAUG